UACGGGGGGGGCAAGCGUUGUUCGGAAUUACUGGGCGUAAAGGGCUCGUAGGCGGCCAACUAAGUCAGACGUGAAAUCCCCAGGCUCAACCUGGGAACUGCGUCUGAUACUGGGAGGCUCGAGUAUGGGAGAGGGAUGUAGAAUUCCAGGUGUAGCGGUGAAAUGCGUAGAUAUCUGGAGGAAUACCGGUGGCGAAGGCGGCAUCCUGGACCAUUACUGACGCUGAGGCGCGAAAGCUAGGGGAGCAAACGGG
rnacentral:rRNA from 1 species